CGGUUUAAAAAGGAAAGUUGCAAAUAAGAACAUCUGAAAUUCUUGUUCUAUAGGUACUGUGAAAUUAUUCAUUUAAAGCACAUUAUAUAUAAAAUACUAAUUCAGAAGGAAAAUGUGAACCUGAUUGUCUAACUACAUGAUCUAAGAUGUGCUUUGUUUUGAAAUACUGUGAUAUUCAGCUUCUUUUGGACAUUAAAGUAGGUCUAACUUGCUAACUUCUCCACCCAUGAGAAUAAUCGCACAGAAUAAGGAGAAUUUAUUAAGAUGUGAGAUGCCAGCUUGCAAGUUAUACCAAAAUGCAACUUGAUGUUGAUAAGACACUAAGGACGUUGAAACUGUGUUGUUAAAUUCAAUGCAAGGAAUGCACACUCUUCAUUCUGUGUGUCAAGGCCUUUGCGGGGUUUUCAUUACCAUAUGUCUGUCCACGAAAACCACAGUGGAUAUCACAGGUCUGCAGUGGAACUGAAUAAUCUACAUCUGUCCUCCAGCCCUUGUAAAAGAAAGAACUGAUUC
rnacentral:lncRNA from 1 species